GGGAGGAGUUCCUGAACAUGGAAAUGCUGAACAAUUGAAUGGCCACAGGAGUUGGCACCAAAUGAAUUGUCUUAGAUAACUGAAGCCUGUCCCAUUGGCCCCCACACAGGAAGCUGGUGGCUAUCAGAACUUCACAGUAGGUUAUUCCUGUUGCCGCCCUCAUGUUUUCUCUGGAGUGUGGGGCUGACAGCAGACAGUUCUGCGAGAUAUAAUCUGUAUUGUAAGAAGACUCUCUGGGGAUUUGUACAGCUUUAUAUCAUGUUUGAGAAGCUCUGGAUUCUAUUGAGAAGCCUUGGUACUAUUUUCCAAGAUUAGUUAACUAACCUGGUCACCAAGCUUGAGGCUCUUAAGAAGCAUAGACUCCUCAUGUGUCUUCUUCAGCCCACCUUCUACCUUUAUAAAUGUUCUACUUAGCUGUAGUGAAAGACACUCACUGACUUGAUAUAUUUGUUCCUCCAAUACUAAAAGUAUAAUGUAAAUAAGGUAAACCAACAAUCUUAUGGGGAAGA